AUACGGAGGGCCCAAGCGUUAUCCGGAAUCAUUGGGUUUAAAGGGUCCGCAGGCGGUCAAUUAAGUCAGAGGUGAAAGCCCAUCGCUCAACGAUGGAACUGCCUUUGAUACUGGUUGACUUGAGUUAUACGGAAGUAGAUAGAAUAAGUAGUGUAGCGGUGAAAUGCAUAGAUAUUACUUAGAAUACCGAUUGCGAAGGCAGUCUACUACGUAUAUACUGACGCUGAGGGACGAAAGCGUGGGGAGCGAACAGGAUUAGAAACCCUAGUAGUCC
rnacentral:rRNA from 1 species